AUGAAAUGUGCAGCACUUUGAAGAGUUUAUUCGUAGCCAUUACUUUGUAAGGGCUCGCGAUAUAGUGAAAGCAGCCAAUGCUUAUAUAGACGGUGCUCCUGUUGGUUCCAUAGUUAAAGGUACUAGCCAGGGCGGGUCCAUGAAGUUUAGAACCGAAGUGGCUGUCUUUAUGAAGACAGUUGUGGAUGAGUUCGUUAAACUAGGAGUCAAGGAGCUUCAAGAUAAACUGAAACCACCACCUGUGAUUCAUACUAACACAUCGAGGCUGUGUUUUAUAUUUAGUAUGCUAUGUUUAUUGUUUAUUUUGUUGGUGGUGGUUCAUGGUAGCAUCAAAGACAAGUUAUCAAUACUCGCCUAACACGGACGGAGUAGAGCAAUGCUUUUUUUUUUUUGCUUUACUAGGUGGACAAGUAGUUUUUAAAUUAUUUAUUUAUCAGCAACUAAACCAGUGCCUUUAAUCGAUUCUUUUGUUUUGAUUUGAAAUCUCUCAACUUAAUAAAUAAAUAAAUAAAAUACAACCCGAAUUGGUUGACUGUCAGGCCAUAACCUGGUGGUCAUGUUCAAAUAGACAAAUAUCGGGGUGGAUUUGGAUAUAUAUGAACCGUAACUCACAUUGGGUAGUCCGUACAGAACAAUAUUUUUUUAAAAUCUACUGGGGAAUGGGUUGUUUGGAGGCUGGGUUGUCUCGAUUAACAUUUUGAAACUAAGCAUGUUGAAUCUUUUGAUGUAAUAUAAAGAUUAUGAAUAAUAUAAGAAAUACUUGUUUCCCUAAAUUUUCUAUUUUUAUUUAAAAAAUUUGAGCCAGUUAAAAUCAAAGGUCAAUAUGAAGCUCUCUAAGCUAUGUCACCUCAGCAAAAAAAUUUACAACCUAUCAAAUUGUCAUCUCAUCACAAAUAACAAAAAAAAUCAUUUUAUGUCAAUUUAUAAUUUUGCUAUCUCUCUUUUCGUUUUGUUCCUCAAAUCAAUUUUUUUCCUUUAAUAUUCAUCUUCUCAAUCCUCGGCGGAUCUGAUUCCGAUAUGUGUUUCUCUGUUACUUGAUUCGUUUACUCUGUUACUAUGUUCUUUGUUACUGUUACUUGCUUUGUCCCAUCGGUACGUUUAAUCUUCUUGCUGCUUUUACGAGCCCGUAAAACGUUACGAUUUCUUUGUUUCAUCAUCGCUUUUUUAUUAUUAAGCUUUUGUGAGAUUGUUUUUGCUGAUAUUUUGUUUUGAUUUGGUUUUUGACAUAUCAUUAACGACCGUGAGACGGGAAGGUCAAGGGGAUUCGGAUUCGUGACCUUCAAGGAUGAGAUGAACGGAAAGGAGCUCGACGGACGUACCAUUACCGUCAACGAGGCUCAGUCUAGAGGAAGCGGCGGUGGAGGUGGAUACGGUGGCCGUGGAGGUGGCGAUUUCUGGAUUAUGAUCUUUAUGGGUUUCAGCCCCCAAAAUCAAUGCGUGGACGGAUUCAGAUUUGUUAUCCUCAUAUUGUGGAUCACUGCAUCAACAUGGGUUUGCAAGGGACAAAAUAUGGGUAAUCGAUGACAAUCUACCUCCACGAGUUCUUAAAAUCAUCAUUAGUUGAUCUUCAUCUCAAACCAUCGGAAGAGGACUUAAAAGCAAUGGUCUGACAGAUGGCCACUCAACAUUGAUUUCUUUAGAAACAUCAAUGGCAAACUCUUCAGAUUCUUAUUUGCAUAUCAUACUUACCUCGCUGUCUCAGAUAUAAGGGUUAGAAACAUUUGAGCACUUGGAGAACCUCAGCAAAAAGGAGCUUUUAACAGAACAAGGCGACAUCAAUAACCUUUAAAUCUGAGAUGGACCAGACUUACCUUGGAUUGCCCAAAAUGGUAGCAGUUCUUGAUCAUGAACGGAAAAGAACACAUGUUAUUGGAAAAGAAUGACUUCUAAACACGUGAUGAUGCAGUUGCAUGUAAACCAUGGGAAAGGUGAAAUUUAGGGGACGAUGAGUACAAAAGCAUACUUUGUGUGGAUGGUUAUUACUUUGAAGCCAUGAGAAGAUUUGACAACAGAGCAGUAUGCUUUUAAUCGCUGUUAAGAUCAGUCUCUGCUUUGAUCAACUUGAACAACAGAGAAAAGGAUUCUGAUUCUGUCUGUUUUGGAAUCCCAUCCUAAAAAAAAUCAUCCACUACAGAGAUCAUGCAGAAGAAUAAGCUUGAUAAUGUAUUUCACUAAAAUCUUAUUGCAGAUGCUGGCUUUUUCUUACCAGUCUUACAAGAAAGGCCCAGUUCCAAGAAGUUGAGCUGGAAAAACAGCCAAGCAGCUCAAAGAGGCGUUUACAAUCUCUAGCGAAGAAACGACCAGAUGUGCGGCAACAAAAAAAGGUUAUCAUAUCUCUUACCGCAUAAGUAAUUUCAAAGAUCAAAAUUAGUAAUAUGCUUUAUGCGAGUACGAGUGAUUUCUUAUGACUCCGUUAUCAGCAUCACUGAAAUUAUGUUGGUGAAAUACAUGGCUGAAAUAUUACCCGUUCGAUCAGCUCGAACUGUGAAGUCUCCUCCGUCCCUUGAUUCAUUUGGUUCCAGUCCAGGCCGCAUUGACCGUCAUAAUAUCUUAAACCAACCAAAUGGGAACGCGAGCAAAAUGGUGUAAAUACCACAAUGUUUUCUAAUUGGACCAUUACACAUGUACUUGGAAAUGGAGAAGCAUCGACUGAAGCACAUAACAAGAAUGAAUGGGUUGAGAAAGAUGCGCCUGACGUCUACAUCAUUCUUACAGCCUUAGCCAGUGGUGUUACCGACCUCAAACGUGUCCGUUUCAGCCGAAAAGUGAGAAACAAACGUAAUAGUGGUGGCCAGAUAACAGAGGAAGAGUCUACGAACAAUACAAUAUACGAAUGGUCGACAAAACCAGUACAGAAAUGCCUCACUGAGACUCUUUUACCCAACCACUUCUCUGAUUUUCCCAAGCCCCCGAGGCAUCUGAGUGCAAAUAUUGGGAUAUAACAUAUCUUCUAUAUAUAAAGAGAAAAUUUAAAGUUUUGAAAGUGUUUUACGUCUUCUUUCAUUGUAGUUUGGGGGCUCUGUGGUUUGUACGUAUGUUGAUGUCAUCACAAAUAAUAUAAUGAAAAUACACAAAACACCAGUCUUUAUGUGAAUAGCAGUUCCAAAAGAAAGUUUAAAUAGAAAUGUUAUAUACUCCGUCUGUUUCAAAAUAUAUGAUGUUUUAAAACGUUAAUGUUGUUUCAAAAUAUAUAAUGUUUGGAAAUUUUAGGGUUAACUUUAUAAUUGGUUGAAUGAUUUUAAAAUUAUAUCUUUAAAAGUAAUUUUUAGAAGAACGUAGUUUUCUUAAUCUUUGUGCACUACGUCAAAACAUCAUAUAUUAUGAAAGUGAAGGAGUAUACUACAAAACGUUUGUUGCUGUAAAAUAUGUUUUUUAAUACUAACAAUUCUGAUUCCUUAUACUAAAAUACAUCUAAAAUUAUAGUGAUUUGUCAAGUUUAAAACCUACUCACAUGGAGUAUAUCAAUAUACCAAAAUUGGGUUAUGGUUUUAGUAUUGUCUUAUGAAAUCAAAGCAAUCUGAUUACUCAAUUAAAAACAGAAAAUUAUUUCAAACCACCAUCCCGUUUUAUAUAAAAGUAUAUUGUAGAUCAAGUGGUUAAGUAAAUCUCUAUGGGACAAUUAAAUAUCGCAGUCCAAAGAAUAUGUAGUCGGAAAAUAAAGUUGUGACAUCACAAGCAUUAUCUUAAAAUAUAUUAAAGAAAAAUAAACACAUAUUUUUAAAA